rnacentral:rRNA from 1 species
GUUGAACGCUGGCGGCAGGCCUAACACAUGCAAGUCGAGCGGAUGAAGGCAGCUUGCUCCUGGAUUCAGCGGCGGACGGGUGAGUAAUGCCUAGGAAUCUGCCUGGUAGUGGGGGAUAACGUCCGGAAACGGGCGCUAAUACCGCAUACGUCCAGAGGGAGAAAGUGGGGGAUCUUCGGACCUCACGCUAUCUGAUGAGCCUAGGUCGGAUUAGCUGGUUGGUGGGGUUAAGGCCUACCAAGGCGGCGAACCGUAACUGGUCUGAGAGGGUGAUCAGACAAAAUGGAAAUGAGGAAAGGUGCAGAAUACUACGGGGGGCAGCAGUAGGGAAUAUUUGGACAUGGGGGGAAGCCUGAUGCAGCAACGGCGCGUGGUGGAAGAAGGUCUUCGGAUUGUUAAGCACCUUUAUUUGGGAAGAAGGAGUGUUAAGUUAAUUGUUGGUGUUUUGACGGUACCUAACAAAAAAGCCACGGCUAACUACGUG